GCGCUCGCUUCAGCAGCACAUAUACUAAAAUUGGAACGAUACAGAGAAGAUGAGCAUGGCCCCUGCCCAAGAAUGACACACAAAUUCAUGAAGCGUUCAAUAUUAAA
ensembl:snRNA U6 U6 spliceosomal RNA